GGUCGACCUUUACCUGAAAGGUCGACUUUUUGGGUAAAGGUCGGGGUCAGUGAAGGUUUUUAUUCGUAUAUUUUGCCUUUUCUUCCUCCAGGAGUGGAGUUGAUCUUGUAAACAUCUUUUUGACUUUCUCUUUUCACACAUGGUGUGAUGGGGUUGCCACGGAAACCAGGCUGCGUUGGAGCCAGCUGGUUGCCAUGGUGACGCUGACCCUUAGAGCAGCGGAGGUGUUGAAACGCCUCCACACAGAUGGAUCGGCGUGAUUCAUGCUCUCCGAUCAGACCGGCCGGGUUCUGGUUCUGGUUCUGGUUCUGUGGUUGGAAACGGGAACGAGGUUCACCUGAGAUGUAACAUCUACCUUCUUCCAGGUCAAGGGUCAAGAAGAA